GAUUUUUUUUUUUUUUUUUUAUACAACUAGUUCCAACUGUGACUUGAACGUGAGAUCUCUCAGCGUUGGGAACUCCAACGACUUGAGUAAUAUUGAGUUAAAGUUCAUUGAUUACAUAAACUCUUUUUUGAUAUUGAAAUUAAUCAUUUAAUAGAUUUGUGCUUGUCAAUGAACCUCUCUGCCCUGCCAAUUUUUAAUCUUAACUUUACAUAUCUAUUAAUAUUUCUUUUGCAGCUUUUGUUUUGAGACACCCUCUU
rnacentral:misc_RNA from 1 species